rnacentral:misc_RNA from 1 species
UCUCCGUUGGUGAACCAGCGGAGGGAUCAUUACGAGAGUGUCACCACUCCCAACCCAUUGUUUACCUACCCGUCCACCGUGCUUCGGCAGGCAGUCCUGUGGGACAGGGCCUCGCCCCCGCGAGGGGGUGCCUGCCGCUGGCCAACCAAAAAUUCUAGCUGUUUUUGUACCAUCUGAGUCUUCCACAAAUAAACAAAACUUUCAACAACGGAUCUCUUGGUUCUG